rnacentral:lncRNA from 10 species
AGCCAAUGCACCUUGCCCCAGAGAUAACGGCGAGGCAGACGGACGCUCCUGCACAGCCUCUGUUUCCAUCGUGCCUUCUUUUCCUUUUUACAGUUGUACUUACAUUCCUGGCUCCUCGUCUUAAAAUGUAGAAUGUAAACCAACUCCCAGAGAAGUACUGGGAUUCUUCAUUGGAUCAAUAAGCAGAAUUGAAAGAAAAUCGUCAAAAAGAUGCCUGCACAGUCGGCAGAGCUCCCCGGUGGAGAGGAAACAAAUGUUCUUUAAUGAAUAAUGAGAAUGAAACUCAUUCCUAAAUCAGGCUGCCCUUGGUGUUCACAUGCAGAGUACAAAGGGCCUCAAAAACUUUGUUUAAAUGAAAGGAAUAUUUCGAGUAGUGCAUGAGGGGCACCCUUCAGGCGGCAAGACAAGUCACGCUCUCACUUUCAAUUAGAAGAUUUGCAGGAGCAUUGUGAGCUGAUCAAGGACAGAGAAGUUCCUGGCCUUUACAGAUCCUCGUUGGCAUACGGAUAUCUGCAGUCAUCGGUCACCUCUUGAUCCCAAUUCCUUCCUUUUCCCCUCCUCUUAACAUAAAAGGAGGCUGAACGUUUUACUGACUUAAGAUGGUUUCUUAGGAAACUGGUCUGUCUUCUUGCUUUGCUGGCUCUCCAAAU